UGAAUUUGGACUAGAAAUAAUAUUAGGUAGUGUAAAAUCCAAGAAAGACCAUUAUUACAUACAUUCUUAAACCACUUUUAGGAUAGUUUGGAGAUGGUUGAGCUAAUGUAGGAAAAAAAUUGAUAUGAUUAAGGAUUUCAUGAGUGAAAUUCUUGUGCCAUAUUGUCUAAGGCGAAUAAGAUAAAAAUUAGGGGAAAAUUUUAAGUUAGAGAUCAGGUUUUGAGAACGAGUGUUUAAUGAGGGGUAUUGUACUAAUCAUAGCAAAAAAGAAGAAAAAAAGUUCUCAUUGUGAAACAUAUUUUCACAACAUUUAUGACUCGAGUGAUUAAGUUUGCAAGAAGAUUUGAAACUUGAUGCCUUGAAAGUCAUCGGCUAAAAAUUUGCUGCAAGGGUUAUUUAAAAAGUUUAAUGGAGAGAAAUCCAAACAUAAGAGUUGAUUUAAAAAAUCGUACUAUAUAUUUUGAUUAAGUUCCAAACACUUGUUUGAAAGAACUAAACAUUUAAUAAAAGAUAAUUAAACUAAUUAAGUUUUAGAAGUUGGAGUAGUCAAAAUAUAGUUGUGGAAGUGUUUAACUGUUACUAGUGACAUCCAUCCAUUCUAGAGAGUACGUGAGAACUGGGAUCAUUUGAAAUUCAACCUAGGAUCACACCUUGAGAGAAGAGUGAAAAUAAUAAGUUUGAGGGUGUUUAUCUCAUAAGUGAAUAAAGGAGACAUUUGACCAAUGAGGGUUGGGAAUUGAACCAAGCAUGAGUUUGUGAUGUUUUACAUAAGUCUUCACACACACACACGUACAAACACGUCGUGUUUUGCAUUGAAUAGGUAUUCGUAUUGACAUAGAAAUUUCAAUCUUGAGACCAACAACAUUUUAUUUAACCAAUUGUGUUUCAAUGAAUUAUGCUAUAAUUCGUUUGAGGACAAAAAAAUGUUCGAGUUUGGGAGUGUUUGAUAAGUGUAUUUUGUACACCUAUAUAGAUAGUUAAAUUGAAAUAUUUGUAGAUGAUUUUUAUGAAAUAUGAUUUAAUUCUAUCAAGUUAUAUUUCAUAGGUAACUAUCGAAAAUCUUGGUAGAAUUGGAGGAAAACAGACAAAAGGGAUAAACUGCAUCAAAUUCUAAGUUCGGAGACUAAAGUGCAACAAAUGAAAAGUUGGAUCGGACAUCGUUGCAAAGAUUCAAGAGUUCUAAAAGGCAUUUAGAAGAGAAGAGACAGUAAUGGGACGAAAAGGAAUGAAGAAGGAACAAAAUUCACGUUCAAAAAAGUUUAAGGACCACAUUGUAAAAUUUGACCCCCAAUUAGACCCAUGCUAUCGCCAAAAUACCGUGUGAUUGCGUGGGUGGUGCAAAGAUUUAUAGAGGCAAAAAUUCUUUAAACCAUGCGAUCGCGAGCCUUAUAGUCAUGAUCGCAUGGCUUUGCGACUGGGGAAUUUUUUUUUCCUUUUUCUUUAUUCGGCAAGUUUUAAUAUGGUAUCUUUUGCAUUCUUUAGAACCUAGAAUCCGUCUAGAAUGUAAAAAAGAGAGUUUUUCUCAUAGAAUUGAGGCUAGCAAGGAGUGAACAAGAGAUUCUACAAUAAGAUUUAAAGUUCCAUAACUUGAAAUGAAGAUUGAAGUGCAAUGAAUCAAGUUUUUAGGCUAUACACCUUUUUGUGUGAGUGUGUGUGUGUCUCUGGUGAUGCCUUUUCAUAUCUUUUUGUUUAAUUUUAAUACAAUAAUGUUAAAUUCAAUUUCUUGUGUAUUGGAUGAAUGAUAAAACCUAUUGAUUAUUGUUUUUAAUUUAAAGGCUUGAGUAAUUUUAGUUAAUUCUUGUGCUCUUGAUUAAAUAUGCAUGACUAUUGUAUUGUUUGAAUGCUUGAUCAUCAUUUAGACAUUUAAUUGUUUAUAUAUAGUAUUGGGAGACUCACAAUAAGUUGAACAUUACAUAAUUUACACACGGACAAUGUGUUAUGAAUGAUAUUUGUGGCAUAUGCAAUUUUAUGUGAUAAGUGCGUGAUUGAAUGCUUUCUUUGCAUAUAUGAAUUUGAAUUAGGAAUAUGAUCGGAUCGUACUUCGGAUAUGUUUAAUAUAUUUUGGAAAACAAAUAUUAGAUAGGGGGAUUAUUGAUUGUCAUGAACACUUGAAGGACACUAACAUACAUGAUUUGAGAAUUGAAAAUAAAGAUCAAUAUGUGGAUUUUGAAAUCCAAAACAUUUAUCAUAUUAUUUGAAAAGAACCAUUUUUUUUUUUAUGAUACAUAGCGUAAGAUAGAAUAAUUAAAAAAUAACCAACUUUUUUGUGUUACGUAGAACGAAUUUGAUAGAAACCCGUAGACUAUAGUUAGCAAUUAUUUCUCAUGGGAAGAUAACUCAAUCCACUAAAUCUAUUACUUGUCAAUGGUUCCGUACGCUUUGAGUUUUAACUCAACGGGGAGCAUGUUAAAAAUAUAAUAUAGAUAUUUUUUUCUUCUUCUUUUUUAAAUUUAUUUUCAUAUACAUAUUUUUUUAAUGAAAUAAUUUUGUAUAUGGUUAUAUAACUUUCUUUAUUUUUUUAACUAUACAAUCUCUAGUAAAUAAAAAAAAAAAAUCACUUUUCAAAUAAAUUAUUCUAAAAAAUCUACUUCGAUGAGGCGUACAUACUUUAAUUUUGUCCAAAAAAAUAAACCAUAAUUUGAUAGAAAAAUUAAAUUUAAAAAUAUUAGAGUUUUACUAAUGGUAUAAUGUUUCUCCCAAAAUGUGUUUUACACUCUUUUGAUGAAAGAGAUAUUAAGUCGUCUUCAACACUCUUUAUAGAGGUUGAUAUCUCGACACAAGCCAUCCCUUCUUAACAAAUGGAAAGACGGUUACUCAUUUUUUAUGACAUUGUCCCUUGUGUGACAAUCAAAAGUAUAUUGUAAGGGACGGCUCUAGCACAACCGUGUUUUGAUAUCAUGGAGUAGUCUAGAACAGAUCUUUAACAAUGGAUAAUCUCAUUGGCUGCGCAUACAAUUUAUUUUAUUUCUUUGGAUGUUUCAUCAGAUUUUGUGAGAAGUCAUAUAGUGAAAAUUACACAAGAGUUUUGCGCACAUUCCAAUUGCAUUACACAUUUCAUACUCGGUCCUAGCUUUUGGGCAAGAGCAAAGACACAAGCGGUAUGAAAGAAAUCAAGGGCUUUAACGGUUGAUGAUAAAUACCAUGGUCUAAAACUCCUUUUUACUACUUAAAACAAAUGCGGCAUUUCUUGGUACGAGCAAUUUCCAUUGUUUACUUCUUUCUUGCGGACUUGGAAUUUCGAAACCAAUACUAUAUUAAAGGUUGGCCUAGAUAUUCUUAUAUACAUAUGCAGUAUAAGGUGUAGUUGACUUUGUCCUUCGUUUAUGCCUUAUUUCCGACUUGGAGAGAGGGCUCUAAAGAUUCUUUGCUGUUGGACUAGAAAGAGGAUUAAUANNN
rnacentral:lncRNA from 1 species